UACGUAGGGGGCAAGCGUUGUCCGGAUUUAUUGGGCGUAAAGAGCGUGUAGGCGGCCUGGAAGGUCCGUUGUGAAAACUCGAGGCUUAACCUCGAGACGUCGACGGAAACCGUCAGGCUAGAGUCCGGAAGAGGAGAGUGGAAUUCCUGGUGUAACGGUGAAAUGCGUAGAUAUCUGGAGGAACACCGGUGGCGAAGGCGGCAUCCUGGACCGGCAUUGACGCUGAGGCGCGAAAGCCAGGGGAGCAAACGGG
rnacentral:rRNA from 1 species